rnacentral:rRNA from 1 species
AUUGAACGCUGGCGGCAGGCUUAACACAUGCAAGUCGAGCGGAGAUGAGGUGCUUGCACCUUAUCUUAGCGGCGGACGGGUGAGUAAUGCUUAGGAAUCUGCCUAUUAGUGGGGGACAACAUUCCGAAAGGAAUGCUAAUACCGCAUACGUCCUACGGGAGAAAGCAGGGGAUCUUCGGACCUUGCGCUAAUAGAUGAGCCUAAGUCGGAUUAGCUAGUUGGUGGGGUAAAGGCCUACCAAGGCGACGAUCUGUAGCGGGUCUGAGAGGAUGAUCCGCCACACGGGGACUGAGACACGGCCCAGACUCCUACGGGAGGCAGCAGUGGGGAAUAUUGGACAAUGGGGGGGACCCUGAUCCAGCCAUGCCGCGUGUGUGAAGAAGGCCUUAUGGUUGUAAAGCACUUUAAGCGAGGAGGAGGCUACUGAGACUAAUACUCUUGGAUAGUGGACGUUACUCGCAGAAUAAGCACCGGCUAACUCUGUGCCAGCAGCCGCGGUAA